rnacentral:rRNA from 1 species
AGUGAACGCUGGCGGUAGGCCUAACACAUGCAAGUCGAACGGCAGCACAGAGGAGCUUGCUCCUUGGGUGGCGAGUGGCGGACGGGUGAGGAAUACAUCGGAAUCUACUCUGUCGUGGGGGAUAACGUAGGGAAACUUACGCUAAUACCGCAUACGACCUACGGGUGGAAGCAGGGGACCUUCGGGCCUUGCGCGAUUGAAUGAGCCGAUGUCGGAUUAGCUAGUUGGCGGGGUAAAGGCCCACCAAGGCGACGAUCCGUAGCAGGUCUGAGAGGAUGAUCAGCCACACUGGAACUGAGACACGGUCCAGACUCCUACGGGUGGCAGCAGUGGGGAAUAUUGGACAAUGGGCGCAAGCCUGAUCCAGCCAUACCGCGUGGGUGAAGAAGGCCUUCGGGUUGUAAAGCCCUUUUGUUGGGAAAGAAAUCCAGCUGGCUAAUACCCGGUUGGGAUGACGGUACCCAAAGAAUAAGCACCGGCUAACUUCGUGCCAGCAGCCGCGGUAA